CACGCGGGGCGAGGGCAGGGUCCACACGCGCGCACGCCCGCGAGCGUGCUGCGCGCCCUCACCGGCCGCUCGAUGAGCUCGAUGCAGGGCUGCAGGUCGAGGCCGAAGUCGAUGAAGUUCCACUCGAUGCCCUCGCGCUGGUACUCCUCCUGCUCCAGGAUGAACAUGGGCCCGGGGAGGGCUCGGCGCCAGCCAAGGCUGCCUGGAGUUCAUGGCCGAGGACGGAAGAGAGAGAGAGGGAAGAGAUCCAGUCCUGCCUGUUGGACCCGCUGUAGCUCUGGCUACACGUCCACAGACCAGUCCCUUUCCUGCCCCCUCAAGGAUCUCACCUUAGCUAGACAGCCUCCCACCCUAGGUAGGCAUCUGCCUGCCCUUCUCCAAAGUCAUGGCCUCUCCAAGGGGAAGCAUCCUCCCGAAGAGCCAGGACCACGGCUGCCCUGACCCCGCAGGCUGCACCUCAAAGAUCUCGAAUCCAGCGAUGUCCAGGAUCCCCAGGAAGGAAGCCCCCUGCCGGUGGGUCUUGUCCAGGGCUUUGUUCACGCGGCUGAGGAUCCAGCGGAAGAGACGUUCGUAGGUGGCCUUGGCCAGAGCCUCUAUGGCAAAGUCUGCCUGUGGGGAGAAGCGAGGAAGCAUGUCCAUCUCCAGGGGGCUGUCGUGUCAUAUGAGCCUGGCUGGCGGCUCCAAAUUUUAUUCCUCUCCUACCCAUAAUCAGUUCUUUAAAAAUAAACAACAGAAAAAUAAA